UAUCAUUAUUAGUCGUAUCACUAAAUCCAGAGAAUCGAGACGUUCGUGCUGCGCCGUCGACGUGGUCGGCAUUCGGCUGCAAUCGCUCGGGCGUUAAAUCAUCGCAGAGUCGAUGGAAACGUUACAAAUUUAAUUGCGCCGCCAGUCAGCCAGCGUGAUAAAUAAUGUUUAAUUUACCUCCCGCAACGGGGUAUGCGCAAGAUGCGAUGUUCGUAUUCCAGGAAGUCGACCGAGUUUGGCACCGUUUUAUAAUCACUCGAGGCUCCCGAGCCAAAUUUAUUAUUCUCAUAUACGUAAAGCAUCAACAUCCACGCUCUGAGACUGCAUCAUUGCCUAUAAUAUAAUUUUCCUAUACUAUAUUUUAAUAUAUACUACAAUAUUAUGUAUUAAUCGUAUAAAUCAUAAAGUUAUAUUUUCUGUAGAUGGUAAAAAAAAAAAUUACAAAAAUAUAUAAUAUGUAUUGUACACAUAUUAUAAUCAUAUAUUAGUUGAACGUUUCUCUUAACACAUGUUCGCAUAUUCCUCCACCUUGAAAUUUGUAUUUAUUGUUAUUGGGUACUUAUUACGUAAUUUUUCUUCAUUUUUAUUAUGUAUAAUACAAUGAUUCCAGUAUACCCUAAUAUAGAUGAGUACAACUAAUACUAGUGCAAUACUAUGCAAUUUUUAAAUUAUUCACACGCAGCAAAAACAACAAGUAAAAUAGACAUGCA